rnacentral:rRNA from 1 species
CCUACGGGAGGCAGCAGUGAGGAAUAUUGGUCAAUGGCCGGAAGGCUGAACCAGCCAUGCCGUGUGAAGGUCAGUGCCCUAUGGGCGUUAAACUUCUUUUGUGCGGGAGCAAUAAUGGUCACGUGUGGCCAGACGAGAGUACCGUACGAAUAAGCAUCGGCUAACUCCGUGCCAUCAGCCGCGGUAAGACGGGGGAUGCAAGCGUUCUCCGGAUUUAUUGGGUUAAAAGGGUGCGUAGGCUGUGAGGUAAGUCAGCGGGGAAAUGCCCCCGCUCAACGGGGUGAAGUGCCAUUGAUACUGCCUUGCUGGAAUGCGGAUGCGGUGGGAGGAAUGGGUGGUGUAGCGGUGAAAUGCAUAGAUAUCACACAGAACACCGAUUGCGAAGGCAUCUAACGAAUCCGCGAUUGACGCUGAUGCACGAAAGCGUGGGUAUCAAACAGGAUUAGAUACCCCUGUAGUC